GUAAACAUAACAUAUGUAUUGAUCUAGUUAAAGGAAACAAAUUUGAACUAGAUUUGGUGGGGUGUGCCCGGCUAUUGCAAUAGUGCAAUGCAAAAGCGACACUUGAGAGAUCCAAUAGCAAGCUAUUGAAGUGGACUCUCCCCCUCAAGAAAUAAAUUUAAUAUCGUGUGAACCAUUGGCUCACAUAUCAGAUAUUAAACUGAUAAGAACAGAUACUACACUUGAUCUUAGCCAAAAGGCCGAGAAAGCUAUACUGCAUCAUUAGUUGGAAGUCAUAUUCAUACUGAUUAAGUCAAAAUGUUCAACAUCAACAAUGUAUUUCCCAACUUCUGUGAGAUUGAUCAACAAAAGGGUGCACGCUGGUACUGAUUGUUGGUGGUGAUCUAUCAUAUAUUAAAUGCAUUGUGAAAGGAGAAAAGGAGUAUCUUUGAAUCUAGUUCUUUGGUGACGUCCGUCCAUAUCUUCUGGUCCAAACUGUAUCAUGCCUUUUCGUACCUCUUAUGGCCAUUUUGUUGCCUCCAAUGUACAUACAUUC